CAUCGCCUGAAGUAAUAAUUUCAGGUACCGCCUGCCCAAUGAUUUUCAAUGGCCGCAGUAUCCUGACUGUGCAAAGGUAGCAUAAUCAUUUGUCUUUUAAUUGAAGGCUAGUAUGAAUGGUGUGACGUAGCAGACGCUAUCCCUUUAAUUAAAGUUUAAUUUAAUCUGUAGGUCAAAAAGCCUACAUUGAAACGCAGGACGAGAAGACCCCGUAGAUCUUUAUAAGGUUUAUCCUGAGGGGUGGUAAGCUAAUUAGCACUCUCCGGUUAAAUUUAUUAUGUUGGGGUGACAAGAAGUCUAACAACACUUCUUUAAUAAACUUAAAUAAAAGUGUACAUGACCCGUUUACGAUUCAAAAAUUAAGUUACCUCGGGGAUAACAGCGUAAUCUAUUUUAAGAGUUCUCAUCAACAAAUAGGAUUGCGACCUCGAUGUUGGAUUAAGAGACAGGAAAAGCGCAACCGUUUUUCACUGGGGUCUGUUCGACCCUCAAUUUCUUACAUGAUCU
rnacentral:rRNA from 1 species